rnacentral:misc_RNA from 1 species
AGAGCUAUUAGGGAGCCUAGAGUUGUUGUCCAGACUACCAGUGAAGUGGAUAUCCUUGAUGAUGGAUAUCGCUGGCGCAAGUAUGGACAGAAAGUCGUGAAAGGAAAUCCAAAUCCCAGGAGUUAUUACAAGUGUACUAAUGCAGGCUGCACAGUGAGGAAGCAUGUGGAAAGGGCAUCACAUGACCUUAAAUCAGUGAUUACUACAUACGAGGGGAAGCACAAUCAUGAUGUUCCUGCUGCUCGUAAUAGCAGCCAUGUCAACUCUGGCA